AUUGAACGCUGGCGGCAGGCUUAACACAUGCAAGUCGAACGGUAGCACAGAGAGCUUGCUCUCGGGUGACGAGUGGCGGACGGGUGAGUAACGUCUGGGAAACUGCCCGAUGAAGGGGGAUAACUACUGGGAACGGUAGCUAAUACCGCAUAACGUCGCAAGACCAAAGUGGGGGACCUUCGGGCCUCACACCAUCGGAUGUGCCCAGAUGGGAUUAGCUAGUAGGUGGGGUAAUGACUCACCUAGGCGACGAUCCCUAGCUGGUCUGAGAGAAUGACCAGCCACACUGGAACUGAGACACGGUCCAGACUCCUACGGGAGGCAGCAGUGGGGAAUAUUGCACAAUGGGCGCAAGCCUGAUGCAGCCAUGCCGCGUGUAUGAAGAAGGCCUUCGGGUUGUAAAGUACUUUCAGCGGGGAGGAAGGCGGUGAAGUUAAUAGCUUCACCGAUUGACGUUACCCGCAGAAGAAGCACCGGCUAACUCCGUGCCAGCCGCCACCGCAG
rnacentral:rRNA from 1 species